rnacentral:rRNA from 1 species
GACGAACGCUGGCGGCGUGCUUAACACAUGCAAGUCGAACGAAGUGGCGAACUGGUGAGUAACGCGUAAUCAACCUGCCCUUCAGAGGGGGACAACAGUUGGAAACGACUGCUAAUACCUCCUACUGAAGUCGUGGAUUGCGUCUGAUUAGCUAGUUGGAGGGGUAACGGCCCACCAAGGCGAUGAUCAGUAGCCGGUCUGAGAGGAUGAACGGCCACAUCGGGAAUGAGACACGGCCCAGACUCCUACGGGAGGCAGCAGUGGGGAAUCUUCCGCAAUGGACGAAAGUCUGACGGAGCAACGCCGCGUGAGUGAUGACGGCCUUCGGGUUGUAAAGCUCUGUUAAUCGGGACGCGGUACCGGAAUAGAAAGCCACGGCUAACUACGUGCCAGCAGCCGCGGUAAUUC